CGGGCUGGUGGCCGGGGUGGACCGGCUGGCCCGCUCGCACCGGGCCACCCGGUACAUGGUGAUGCUCGCCGCGUACCAGGCGCUGCUGGCCCGG
rnacentral:tRNA from 2 species